rnacentral:misc_RNA from 1 species
CAGAGUUCAUGCCCUUCCGGGUAGAUCUCCCACCCUGUGCUAUCGUUACCCUUGUUGCUUUGGCGGGCCGUCCGGCCUCGGUCAGGCUACCGGCUCCGGCUGGUAAGCGCCCGCCAGAGGACCCAAAACCCUGAAUGUUAGUGUCGUCUGAGUACUAUAUAAUAGUUA